AGACUACCCCCUGGACUUAAGCAUAUCACUAAGCGGAGGAAAAGAAACUAACUAGGAUUCCCCCAGUAACUGCGAGUGAAGAGGGAAGAGCUCAUCAUUGGAAUCUGGCAGUGUUGCACUGUCCGAGUUGUAGAUGAGGAGUAGUCCAUCUGGACUGCAUGGCGUCCAAGUACAAUAGGCCGUCAGUGGGACAUCAUAGAGGGUGACAAUCCCGUCCUUGAUGCCAAUGUGCAAGUCCGUUACGAUGGCUAUCUCAGAGAGUCGAGCAGUUUGGGAUUUGCUGCUUAAACAUGGGAGGUAGAUUCCUUCUAAAGCUAAAUACAGGCGAGAGACCGAUAGAGAACAAGUACCGCAAGGGAAAGAUGAAAUAGCACUCUGUGAAGGGAGUCAAAAGGCGUGAAAUUGUUGCGAGAGAAGCGAUUCAAGUCAGCGUAGCUAGGCCCAUCAAGCGUCUCGCUUUGGACUAGCUUUGCCAGCGGUCUUGUCCUUUAGAGAGAGAGAGACUUGACUUGUUAACGAUGUCCAGCCUGGUAUGCACAGGUAGCCCCCCGGGGUCAGUGGCAUGGCUGGUGGAAUGGCUUGCAAUCGACCCGUCUUGAAACACGGACCAAGGAGUCUAACAUGUAUGCGAGUAUAAGGGUGGCAAACCCGUAUGCGCAAUGAAAGUGAUUUUCGGUGAUUGAGAAUGGCCUGAUGACCAGACAAGCAAUACAUGUCCCUCGGACGGCCAUUGCCCAAGUUCCGUGGUAGAUCCCAUGAACAUGGAGUUGGAGCAUACAUGCUAGGACCCGAAAGAUGGUGAACUAUGCCUGGACAAAGCGAAGCCAAAGGAAACUCUGGUGGAGGCUUGUAGCGAUUCUGACGUGCAAAUCGAUCGUCUGAUCUGGGUAUAGGGGCGAAAGACUAAUCGAACCAUCUCAUAGCUGGUUCCUGCCGAAGUUUCCCUCAGGA
rnacentral:rRNA from 2 species